UACAAGUUUAUAUGAAGAAGAGGCUAACUUUUUGAGCACUAAGUUGGCGCAGCUACUCAUAGGAUGAGAAGGAGAUGGCAGAUGGUAGAUGGCUACUUAUUUUCUCUGUGGUACAGAUAACCAGAAUCUUUUUUUUCCUCUACUUCUGUUAUCCAAACACAGUAACUGACAACUGCAAGAGGUAUAAAGCAAGUCAGAAAAUAUACAGCCAUAACAACAAGUGUAAAUUUCUUGUGGAGAUAUGCUAGCAAGUCAAUACCCAGAUGCCAGGAAAACACAUUUAAAAGGCAAAUACUUAUGCAAUGAAAUAUAUGACAGCAUGGAUGCAAAGAUAUA